UUUCUCUUGAUUUUUUCUUUGAUCUUCUUAAGUUUUUUUUUUUAAUUUCUCAACAUGUAUAGAAGUGAAAAGUUCUAAAAAGUUUAUUAUAUGUGAAUGGAGUUGUGAUAUUGAGGUAUAUAAGGAUGAACAAACAUAUUAUUGAAUCUAUUUUCUAUAUCUGUUUUUCUUAUUUUUAUCCUGUCUUUAUCUGUUUCACGUUGAUUUCAUUUAGAUUUUUUUUAUAGUUGCUUGAAAGCAAUGACUUUAUUUUAGAAUUUUCCCUACAUGUGUUUGGGAAAAUUCCUCAACAAAUUUGGCUUAAGAAUCUAAAGCAUAAGCACAUGAUCUUACAAGUUCUGUGUUUCAAAAAGAAAGUUGGUAGUUAAUCUGGUAAUACAUGGGACUAAUCAGUACAUUUAAUUUGUUAUAUGUUGAAUAUUAUUCACUUAAUAGAAAAGGAUUGUAUUUUAAUGUUCUAACUUAUUAAUUAUCUAAUCAAUGCUAAAUACAUGAACUUUUAUAUAGGAGGUGAUUAUAAGUGUAUCAACUCCACAGAGGUGAUUAAAGGUUUCUAGAUUGUACAUCAUAUGAACUAAUGAUUUAUGUAGUACGAUGAUUUGGUACAGUUAGCUUAUUCUAAUUCUCUCCCUUUUACUCUUCUUAUGGUUAAAUAGAGGUGAUGAAUGAUUUUUAGAACUUCAACUAUAUGAGUGUGUAAAGAGCCCACCACAUAAAGUUCGCAUAAAUCAAGGGACAGUGGUGAAGUGUAGAUAAUUAAGCUUGAAUUUGGUGUUAUUAAUAAUGACAACAACAACAAAAUCUGAAAAUCUCAAUUUGAGGAGGGUCGAGUGUAAAACCUUACUUCUACCUCCUGUUCUUUAUAAUUUACUAGACUUAUUGUGCUCAUACAAUUUGUAAGAGGUAUGACAUUUCAAUGACGUAUAAAGGAUAGGUUAGCUCUUAAUAGAUUACAUUAGAAAAUGAUGUGAUAAAUUCACCUAUUUGGUAUGAUAUACUAUAUGAUAUGAAUAUUUGUGCCUUUUCAUGAUUUCAGCUUCGGUAUAUCGGUGUUGCAGGUUUUUACCCUUACCAUUCACCUUCUUUUUUUGGAUUUUAGCAUUCAAGUACUGUAGCUUUGUAGUGCUCUCUAUCAAGUUAUAAUCUCGUUGUCUAUUCUCCCUAAAGAGAGAAUGACAUUUUUUUGUUUCUUUGUAUCUUUCUUAAUCUGAAUAAAAAAGUAGUAUUUCUAUUGUUGCUUCAGAAAUAGGUAGCUUUGUUGCUAACUAAGCUCUCUCAAUGUCCAUAAUGUUCUAUUUCUACUUACCAGAUGGCCUUCUUCAAAAAAAAAAAAUUAUUUUGAAGGUUAAUAUGAAUCAAUAUGAUUCCAAUUUCUCCCUUCUCUCCUCCAUUAUGCAUUUACAUCUCUGAUUUAAAAAUAUUUCAUAUAUUUGUUCUAUACUAGUUCUUGUUUAUUUGAACUUACUAUAUAAGUGGAAGAGGGUAUAUAAUAUAGAUUUUAUAUACGAAUAAUUUGCAAUCUUUUGUUAUUGUGCUAGGAAAAAAUGUUUACAAAAUUCACAUAGGAGGCAUACUGUGUCAACGUUAUGAGCACUUUUAUAAUAUUUCAUUUAUGUUGUGCUCUCAAAGAGAUAAGGAAUCAAAGUUUUUAAAAAAUAUAACAAACUAUGAUAUGUCUAUUGUGGAUGGUCUUUGACAGUAUGAAAUUGUUUGCUUCUCAUAUUUGAGAUGAUUCAAUACUUUCAUCGACUUCACAUCAAAGAUAGUAAAUGGGUAGAAGAGAUGGUACCACUUUAGGAGGAUUACACUACUAUUAUUUGUGCACAAGAUGUAAUAUUCCACUGAUGUGCCAAGGAAAAAUGAAUAGUAAGGUUGACAUUAAGUGCCAUUAAGUAAAUUAUUUUUUCAAAAUAUUAUUUUAGAUCAAUGAUCUGGAAAUCAUUGUGCAUUCCCAUAUUCAAAUGUAUUCUAAUUAUUUUUAUUAAUUUAAUUAUUUUCAAGAGCCGGUAGCUUGGUGAAGAUGAUGAUAGAUGAAGCAAGACAAUUGUAGACAUAAUAUUACUUAUGAUUUUUAGAUCUCAUACUGUUAUUUUCUGUCAAAUUUUUUUGAUUUGUUUGCUAUGUGGGUUCUAAUCUUAUUGCAUGCAAUAAUUUACUAUUUUGAUGAUUGUUGUGUUUCUAUGCUCUCCGCAUGCUUCUUAUGUUUGGUAUUUUUUUUAUUUUGAGUAAUAUAUUCUAUAAUUUUUUCACAAAGUGUCGAAUUUCUAUUUUUCAAAGUUAGUAUACUCAAGAUUUGUUGAUCAGAAUUGUAUUUUUUUUUUAAUUCUUUUGGGUAGAAUACUGUGGUUAAAAAAUUAAAAUCUUAUUGCAAGAAGGAACAUUGUCAUUGAGCUUGUAUGUGGAGUAAAAUCUUGAUCGUACCAUAAGUGAUAAUGCUGAUGGAGGAAAAAGCCUUGUGAACUAUCCCAAGGGAAAUAUGGAGUUGCUUUCUUGCGUUGAGUUGAAGCUUAUAAAAAGUUACCAAGGUGGAAAUAGACUAUUAAGAGAUGAGAAACUUCAAAAAUCUGCUAUGUAGCACUAGCUAGAACUUAGUUUUCACAUAUAUUGUUUAAUAUGUAAGUAAAAAGUAUACAUUACAUUCAACGUAUAUGUGAACUUAAAACAUUUGUUCAAAUAGAAACGUGUAUGCAUUAGUAUAGUUUUAUAUGUACAGUAAAGUUAUUUAAGUAGAACUGAAAAAAUACAGCAGAAGAGGAAUCUUGCAGGUUGCAAAAUUAAUUGAUGUAUAUUGUUUUUCUCUUGGCCACUUGAUCCAAAUAGAGGUUCCAUUUCAUCGUGUUAUUACUGAAUUGGAUGUAAUUUGAAUUAAAUAGAUUGAUUUCUUUUUGCGUCGAAGAUAUUGAUGCUAUUAA